rnacentral:miRNA from 11 species
UUUUUGAGUGUGUGUGUGUGUAUGUGUAUAUAUAUAUAUAUACACACACACACACACACACACACACACACACACACACAUACAUAU